CUGAAGGCUGUAAGAAAUAAUAUUUUGUUUAAGGAACAAAUACAUGGUAUAAGAGCCUGUUCUGCUUUAUCUUUUUCUUUUUCUGUGUCGGAGGAAACUAACAUGGGAGGUUCGGAUUCGAAACCUAGUUCACCGUCUCCGUUUACAAGUACCCCAUGGAGAACAACUCAAGCAUGGAAUGAAGAAUUUGAAUUGUCACUUCGUGAACAAAUAGAAGAAAUUCAAACGCAAUGGAAAGCCACAAUCGUACUAGUUGGACCAGUUGGAGCAGGAAAGUCUUCAUUUGUUAAUGCAAUACUAUCUGUUUCUCAGGGACAUAAGGUUGA